rnacentral:rRNA from 1 species
CGGGGAAUUUUGGACAAUGGGGGAAACCCUGAUCCAGCCAUCCCGCGUGUGCGAUGAAGGCCUUCGGGUUGUAAAGCACUUUUGGCAGGAAAGAAACGUCAUGGGUUAAUACCCCGUGAAACUGACGGUACCUGCAGAUUAAGCACCGGCUAACUACGUGCCAGCAGCCGCGGUAAUACGUAUGGUGCAAGCGUUAAUCGGAAUUACUGGGCGUAAAGCGUGCGCAGGCGGUUCGGAAAGAAAGAUGUGAAAUCCCCGCGCUCAACUUUGGAACUGCUGUAUUAACCACCCGGGUAGAGUGCGUCAGAGGGAGGUGGAAGUCGGGGUGUAGCAGUGAUAGGCGUAAAUAUGAGGAGGAACAACGAUGACGAAGGCAGCCUCCUGGGAUAACACUGACGCUCAUGCAAGAAGGCGUGGGGAACAAGGAGG